rnacentral:rRNA from 1 species
AUUGAACGCUGGCGGCAGGCCUAACACAUGCAAGUCGAGCGGAUGAAGGGAGCUUGCUCCUGGAUUCAGCGGCGGACGGGUGAGUAAUGCCUAGGAAUCUGCCUGGUAGUGGGGGAUAACGUCCGGAAACGGGCGCUAAUACCGCAUACGUCCUGAGGGAGAAAGUGGGGGAUCUUCGGACCUCACGCUAUCAGAUGAGCCUAGGUCGGAUUAGCUAGUUGGUGGGGUAAAGGCCUACCAAGGCGACGAUCCGUAACUGGUCUGAGAGGAUGAUCAGUCACACUGGAACUGGGACACGGUCCAGACUCCUACGGGAGGCAGCAGUGGGGAAUAUUGGACAAUGGGCGAAAGCCUGAUCCAGCCAUGCCGCGUGUGUGAAGAAGGUCUUCGGAUUGUAAAGCACUUUAAGUUGGGAGGAAGGGCAGUAAGUUGAUACCUUGCUGUUUUGACGUUACCAACAGAAUAGGCACCGGCUAACUUCGUG